UACGUAGGGGGCAAGCGUUGUCCGGAUUUAUUGGGCGUAAAGAGCGUGUAGGCGGCCAUACAGGUCCGUUGUGAAAACUGGAGGCUUAACCUCCAGACGUCGAUGGAAACCGUAUGGCUAGAGUCCGGAAGAGGAGAGUGGAAUUCCUGGUGUAGCGGUGAAAUGCGUAGAUAUCGUAAGGAAGACCAGUGGCGAAGGCGGCAUCCUGGACCGGCAUUGACGCUAAAGCGCGAAAGCCAGGGGAGCAAACGGG
rnacentral:rRNA from 1 species